rnacentral:rRNA from 1 species
GGCGGACGGGUGAGUAACACGUGGGCAACCUGCCUAUAAGACUGGGAUAACUUCGGGAAACCGGAGCUAAUACCGGAUACGUUCUUCCUUCGCAUGAAGGGAGAUGGAAAGACGGUUUACGCUGUCACUUAUAGAUGGGCCCGCGGCGCAUUAGCUAGUUGGUGAGGUAAUGGCUCACCAAGGCGACGAUGCGUAGCCGAC